AGAGUUUGAUCCUGGCUCAGAGCGAACGCUGGCGGCAGGCCUAACACAUGCAAGUCGAGCGGCCCUUCGGGGCAGCGGCGGACGGGUGAGUAACGCGUGGGAACGUGCCCUUUGGUACGGAACAACUGAGGGAAACUUCAGCUAAUACCGUAUGUGCCCUAUGGGGGAAAGAUUUAUCGCCAUUGGAGCGGCCCGCGUUGGAUUAGCUAGUUGGUGGGGUAAUGGCCCACCAAGGCGACGAUCCAUAGCUGGUCUGAGAGGAUGAUCAGCCACACUGGGACUGAGACACGGCCCAGACUCCUACGGGAGGCAGCAGUGGGGAAUCUUGCGCAAUGGGCGAAAGCCUGACGCAGCCAUGCCGCGUGAAUGAUGAAGGUCUUAGGAUUGUAAAAUUCUUUCACCGGGGACGAUAAUGACGGUACCCGGAGAAGAAGCCCCGGCUAACUUCGUGCCAGCAGCCGCGGUAAUACGAAGGGGGCUAGCGUUGCUCGGAAUUACUGGGCGUAAAGGGCGCGUAGGCAGACAGUUUAGUCAGAGGUGAAAGCCCAGGGCUCAACCUUGGGAUUGCCUUUGAUACUGGCUGUCUUGAGUACGGGAGAGGUGUGUGGAACUCCGAGUGUAGAGGUGAAAUUCGUAGAUAUUCGGAAGAACACCAGUGGCGAAGGCGACACACUGGCCCGUUACUGACGCUGAGGCGCGAAAGCGUGGGGAGCAAACAGGAUUAGAUACCCUAGUAGUCC
rnacentral:rRNA from 1 species